rnacentral:lncRNA from 1 species
AGCCCAACCUUAAACACAUCGAUUAGAACAAGGAACUUCUUCCAGGAGGAAAACAGAAAGGAACCAAAGUAGCCUUCUCUUAUUUCUGAAACUUGCUCCCUGCUAACCAUGGAGCUAUUCUGUAACACCAAAAGCAACAUAUGUGACAACCUUUGGAGAGUUCAGUCAUAAAUCUUUUAUUACUGUGAACAGUCUUUACCAAACAUU